GUCCCUGCCAUUCUCAUCAUAGCAGUGUUAACAUUAAAUGAAAGAAAAAUUUUAGGUCACAUAUAACUUUGUAAAGGUCCUAAUAUUGUAGGCCCAUACAGACUACCCACAACCUUUUGCUGACACAAUAAAACUAUCCAUUAAAGAGCAACUAUGACCACUAACAUCAUCUAUUCCCCUUUAUAUUAUCACUCCAUCCCUCACCUUCACCUUCAUGCUCAUAUAUGAAUCCUUCUCCCUAUACCCACCCCUUAAUUAAUAUGAUUAUAGAAGUAUUAUUCAUCUUAGCCACAUCAAGCCUAGCUGUCUACUCAAUCAUAUGAUCAGGAUGAGAAUUCAAUUCAAAAUAUGCAUCAACUAGUGCAUUGUGAGUCAUAGCCCAAACAAUUUCAUAGGAAGUUACCCUGGCCAUUAUUCUCUUAUCAGUACUUCUGAUAAGUGGGUUAUUCACCCUCUCAACUCUUGUCAUCACACAAGAGUCUGUGUGAUUACUUUUACCAUCAUGAGCCCUGGCCAUGAUAUGAUUUAUUUAAACCCUAGCAGAAACCAAUUGAGCCUCAUUUGAUUUAAAAGAAGGUGAGUCAGGGCCAGUCUCAAGCUUCAACAUCAGAUAUGCUGCAGGGCCAUUCACUCUAUUCUUCACAGUAGAUAUUAUUAUAAUAUUAGUAUAAGAGAAUAAAUGCCCUGGUGGUUAUUAUUUUUCUAGGAGCACGACAUGACAUCUUCACAUUAAUUGUAAUUAUAUACAAUUAAUAUUAUAUACAAUUAAUACAAUACAAUUAAUUUCACCACCAAAACACUUCUACUAACACCCUUGUUUUUAAGAAUUCAGGCAUCAUACCCACAAUUCUUAGAUGAUCCACUUAUACAUCUCUUAUGAAAGUAUUUUCCACCCUUUACACUAGCCUUACACAUAUGACACAUUUCAAUGUCCAUCUUAAUAUAUAAUAUCCUGCAACAA
rnacentral:lncRNA from 10 species